UACGAAGGGGGCUAGCGUUGUUCGGAAUUACUGGGCGUAAAGCGCACGUAGGCGGAUUGUUAAGUUAGGGGUGAAAUCCCAGGGCUCAACCCUGGAACUGCCUUUAAUACUGGCAAUCUCGAGUCCGAGAGAGGUGAGUGGAAUUCCGAGUGUAGAGGUGAAAUUCGUAGAUAUUCGGAGGAACACCAGUGGCGAAGGCGGCUCACUGGCUCGGUACUGACGCUGAGGUGCGAAAGCGUGGGGAGCAAACAG
rnacentral:rRNA from 1 species